UUUCGGCUUGACAGGAGCUGCUUUCGACUUGGCAGCAGCCUUCGGUUUGGUGGUAGCCUUAGGCUUCGGCUUAGCUGCAGCUUUCGGCUUCGCUGGUGCUUUCGCAGGCUUUGUUGGCUUCGGUUUUGCUGCGGCGGGCUUCUUAGCUGCCUUCGAUGGGGCCGAUCGAGAACUCGGAAGUUUGUACGAGUUCUUCACCUUCACGAGCUUUUCAGAAGCCACGAGCUUCUUCAAAUGCACGAGCAAAAGCUUCCUGAAAUUCGAAGGCAACUUCUUGUGCUUCUCUUCAAUGAAC
rnacentral:lncRNA from 1 species